ACGACUUUGGCAGCCUCACAGUAUAUAACAGUUAGAAAAUGGCCAUUGAAGAUGACCCAAUUUCACUUGUGAAUUGUGCAGUAAUCCAUCAAUUGGACAAUCUUGACUGUUUGGAAGGCCUUGAGAAUUGAAGCUAACGAUUUUAGUUUCUGUAACCCUUCAAAUCGGUCUGUGUUUCCUUUCCUACUGGAGAAGUUGAGAUUGAGCAGGUUUAAUCAUUUUGAGAGGCAUAUAAUGGUAGUUGGCAUGUUGCUCCAGCUUAAGAGAUAUUCCUUCCAUAUCUCUGGUACUUGUGUCUAAGAUUCUGCCAUUGUUUGGAAGAGUUUUUUGCAGAUAUUUUGCUGUCAAUUGAGAUGAAACAGUGCAGCCCUUCUGUUGUUGCUACUGCCAAGCAGAUUCAAGAAGGCUGCAUUCAUUAUGAAUUGGAUUGUUUGAGAUAAAAACCGAUGGGCUUGAAUUUGAGGAAUCACCUUAUCCACAUGUAGAAGAGGACUUGGCCGACAUCAUAGUGAGCUAAUUGCUAUUAGAA